AAAAAAUGUAAAUUUACAUUGUACUUUGUGGACUUAACCAAUACGAUUAACGGAUGAGGGUCAUGUGACUACGAGACCGACGCCGACCACGCUGCAGCCGACUAGCCGACCAACAUAGGUCCAAACACGGUCAUAAAUGUUUGUUUGGAUUUGCAAGUGCAUGCGUUUGGCUGUGGUUUAAAAAAAAGUGUUUAAUAUUGUGUAGAAAAAGAAAAAGAAACAGGAUCAGCCGGAAAAUCCUGAACAAUUGUCUCAAUAUAUUUCAAUUUUGGUGCCUUGUAUAUUGGUGACUUCUAAGGACGAAAUUAAAUAUUACAAAGUCUUUAUGGAAAAGCAAGAGAUCUAUGAAGACACAUCAUUUAUUGAAAGCCUAUUAGUGUGUUUUGGACUUCAUUUUGUAAUGAAUCUGAUUUUUCCCAAAACAGCAGCUAUAACUCUGGAGAUGUUACAAAGGUUUCAUUUAAAAAUUCAUCCUGAUUCGAACACAACAGCUAAAUCCACUUCAAAAGGAAAAGUUCUUACUUUGAUGAAAAAUCUUACCAAAGCAUUUUCAUAAAUUUGUUUAAAUUAUUCUAUUUACUGUUUUUUUUGUUCUGGGUUAGUGUCUAGAAUGACUGUAUUUUUGUUGUUUAUCUUAUUUUUACUUUAUGACUGCUAAAUAAUAAGCAGAUGAAACUGGUUUAAGUUUGACCAUUUUUGAUACCAUACCUACUAUGAAAACAUAAUACCUAAAUUUAUCUACCAUUUUCCUAAUUUAAUAUACUUAUUAUUUUAGGUAUACCUAUUUUCGUAUACAUUUUUAAAUUUAAUGUUUAUUUUGUUGUUACGUCUAGUGACUUUUUUUUGUUGUUUAUUAUACAUAUUUUUAUGUAUUUAUAUUUAUGACUGCUAAAUA